rnacentral:rRNA from 1 species
UACAGAGGGUGCAAGCGUUGUUCGGAAUCAUUGGGCGUAAAGGGCGUGUAGGCGGUCUGUUAAGUCAUGUGUGAAAUCCCUCGGCUCAACCGGGGAACGACGCAUGAAACUGACAAGCUAGAGUACCAAAGAGGGGGGUGGAAUUCCCGGUGUAGCGGUGAAAUGCGCAGAUAUCAGGAGGAACACCGAUGGCGAAGGCAGGUCUCUGGGCCACUACUGGACGCUGAGAAGCGAAAGCAUGGGGAGCGAACAGGG